CUCACGUUCAGUUCCCUUUCUUUCUCAGACUGCUUUUUUCUUCCUUCUCCCUCUUCGUCUUCCUUCUCCAUAUUCUUCCUCCUUCAUCUUCUUCUUCCAUCUCCUUCUUCAUUGUUAUUAUUGAGUUUCGGACAGGUUCCAUUUUGAUUUCGAUUUGGUGUUUGUUGUUUCAGGUUUGGUGGUGUUGACUCACGCGGAAGGGGAUGCUUAGCUGACGGUGCGGUUAUCUGAACAUGUUUGAUUUGGUGUAUGUUGUUUCAGGUUUGGUGGUGUUGAUUUGGUGUUUGUUGUUUUCAGAUUUAGGAGUAACUGAUCUGAUUCAUUAUCUUUGGUUCUAUCUUUGACUCUCUACUCAGAUCUACGAAAUUAUGGCAGUGGCUAUGGCGUUUCCGGCGAUAGGCGGUUUGACAGUGUUAAACUAUAGUAGCGGCAACACGUUUUGUGACGGCGGGUGUGGUGGUUGGAUUCUAAAUGAUUUUUGUGUGACUUUUUGGUCAGAUCUGUCAUGAGAUUCAAAAUAAUAGUUAUGGUUGGAUUGAGAUUUUAGUGUAUCAAACUUUGUUAAUCGGUUAGAAAGUUAUGGUUUUGAUUUUGUAGUUAGGGUUUUUGUGGUUGAUUUUUGUGUGACUUUUUGGUCAGAUCUGUCAUGAGAUUCAAAAUGAUUUUUGUGUGACUUUUUGGUCAGAUCUGUCAUGAGAUUCAAAAUAAUAGUUAUGGUUGGAUUGAGAUUUUAUGGUAUCAAACUCUGUUAAUCGGUUAGAAAGUUAUGGUUUUAAUUCUGUAGUUAGGGUUUUUGUGGUUGAUUUUAUGAUUUGGUGGUUUAUUUUUCAGGUUAUAGACUGGAUUGAUUUUUACCGGUGAGUUUUAAAGCUAACAAGAUAUGGGUUUUGUUUGGUUUUCUUAUAAACUUAGGGUGUUGAUUUUGUAGUUAGGGUUCUUAAGCUAACAACAGUCAUUUUCAUCAGAUUUGCUAAGGUGAAGGAACAAGGUUUUGCCAGAAGGAAAAAUGAGCCAGCAUUAUGUAAGCUGAAAACCAACUGAUGACGUCGAAUUAAAAGGGGAUUUCAUCCGCAAUAACAACUCAAGAUCAUAACAAUACUUUUCAUGCUUACAAUUUCUAUAAUAAAGGCAUUCUUUCUUUCAGGCCCAUUGAAAAGUUUAGAUAUAUGAAGAAGAAUAUUGGCAUGGUAAGCAUAUUAGCAUUGGUUAUUGUUCAACACCAUCAAUUUAAUAUCCAUUAUUUUUUUGUUAUUCUUAUGAGCAUCCGUCCGGCUACUUCGUUGCUUUACUUGACUGUCGCGGUGCUGAUUUUGAAGAUUUCAGGAUGAUGGAAACCACAAAGAUUAUCUUUAAGAGAGAUCAAAUGAACUGAAGCCAAAUGGUUUUGUAACUGAAGCUUCAAGAGAAAUGGGACUGUCAGUCAUCAACAGUGCAACCAUUGUGGAAACAAUGCUAAAAGCUUGAGGCUCUGACUCAGACGCACAAAGGGAUUGGAGAGCUUUAUUAUAUAGAUGGAUUUUGAACAUUUCAAUUCAGGGAUAGAAAAGGCUAAAUUACAUG